UUCCGGUUGAUCCUGCCGGACCUGACUGCUAUCGGAUUGAUACUAAGCCAUGCGAGUCUUUGCAGUAAUGCAAGGCAUACGGCUCAGUAACACGUAGUCAACUUACCCUAUGGACGAGGAUAAUCUCGGGAAACUGAGCAUAAUACUCGAUAGAUCAUAAUGCCUGGAAUGGUUUAUGGUUAAAAUGAUUCGUCGCCAUAGGAUGGGACUGCGGCCUAUCAGCUUGUUGGUGAGGUAAUGGCCCACCAAGGCGAUUACAGGUACGGGCUCUGAGAGGAGAAGCCCGGAGAUGGGUACUGAGACACGGACCCAGGCCCUAUGGGGCGCAGCAGGCGAGAAAACUUUGCAAUGUGCGAAAGCACGACAAGGUUAAUCCGAGUGAUUUCUGCUAAAGAAAUCUUUUGUCAGUCAUAAAACCACUGACGAAUAAGGGGUGGGCAAGUUCUGGUGUCAGCCGCCGCGGUAAAACCAGCACCUCAAGUGGUCAGGAUGAUUAUUGGGCCUAAAGCAUCCGUAGCCGGCUUUGUUAGUUUUCGGUUAAAUCCAUGUGCUCAACACAUGGGCUGCCGAAAAUACUGCAUGGCUAGGGAGUGGGAGAGGUAGACGGUACUCAGUAGGAAGGGGUAAAAUCCUUUGAUCUAUUGAUGACCACCUGUGGCGAAGGCGGUCUACCAGAACACGUUCGACGGUGAGGGAUGAAAGCUGGGGGAGCAAACCGGAUUAGAUACCCGGGUAGUCCCAGCUGUAAACGAUGCAGACUCGAUGAUGCAUUGGCAUAAUAGCCAGUGCAGUGUCGCAGGGAAGCCGUUAAGUCUGCCGCCUGGGAAGUACGUACGCAAGUAUGAAACUUAAAGGAAUUGGCGGGGGAGCACCACAAGGGGUGAAGCCUGCGGUUCAAUUGGAGUCAACGCCGGG
rnacentral:rRNA from 1 species